rnacentral:rRNA from 1 species
AUGGAGCCGGGAUCCACACAAGAUGGAGCUGUUAACAUGACGAGGGCAAUGGAGGCUUUGUCUCCUUGGUUGGACCACCCAAGGAGGACGGUCGUCCAGGUUGAAGUUCUGGUGGUAAUGGCCACGGCUCUGCUGCUUCUCCAGCUCAUAUUGGGCUCUUGCAAGCGGCGGUGGCAUCAUUCCUUCGUGAAAGGUGCCCUGAGCAUGUGUACAACACUUGCAUUCCCUCUCGUCCUCUUCACAUUGGGUAUGAUGGACUCCUUCCCAAUCAAGAGUUCCAUGUAUCCCGUCUGGGCUGCUGUUCUCUUGAUGGCUUCAGUGGGCCCGACGGUCGUCCAGAAAUAUGAAUUCUAUGGCAGCUUUGGCAAAAAGUACAUACAGGUUUUUGUCGAGACCUGUAAAUACUGUGCAUACUUGAUUGCAGCUGUCCCAGAAUUGCUUCCGUACCACGAGGUGGAUACAAGAGAGCUGAAAGCAAAGGUGCUGAAAGAACGUAAACAGCUUUUUGGAUCCUAUAAACAUCCUGAGAUUGACGACAUAAAGAAGAAGUUAGAAGAGAUAGAAGAGGGAGAUGACCCUGUGACAGUCUUCAAGAAAGGCGUGAAGCUCGGCAAGCAGCUCGCGAGCAUGCCGGAUGGGCUCCAGCGCUGGAAGGUGAUGGGGGAUUUCUGGGCCGAGACAAUCAUCUAUGUCGCGCCCUCGCACUCCACCGCCAAGCAACACAUGCAGCAUCUUGAGAAUGGCGGGGAGUUCCUCACCCAUAUCUGGGCUCUGCUUUCUCAUGCUGGCAUCCUCAACCUUAACAGGGACAAGGAUCAGGGGGCACAGGAAGAGCCGGUAUCAGUAUGA